UACGAACGCUGGCGGCGUGCCUAACACAUGCAAGUUGAGCGACGAACCAGGGCUUGCCCUGGGGCAAAGCAGCGAACGGGUGAGUAACACGUGGGUAACCUACCCCGAUAACCGGGACAACCCGAGGAAACUCGGGCUAAUACCGGAUGUGCUCACUGGACUUCGGUUCAGUGCGUAAAGGAAGCUUCGGCCUCCGUAUCGGGAGGGGCCCGCGGCCCAUUAGUUUGUUGGUGAGGUAACGGCUCACCAAGACCGCGAUGGGUAGCUGGUCUGAGAGGACGAUCAGCCACACUGGGACUGAGACACGGCCCAGACUCCUACGGGAGGCAGCAGUGGGGAAUCUUGCGCAAUGCGCGAAAGCGUGACGCAGCAACGCCGCGUGGGGGAAGAAGGCCUUCGGGUUGUAAACCCCUUUCAGGAGGGACGAAGGUUCGGCGGUGAAUAGCCGUCCGGACUGACGGUACCUCCACAAGAAGCCCCGGCUAACUACGUG
rnacentral:rRNA from 1 species